GACGAACGCUGGCGGCGUGCCUAACACAUGCAAGUCGAACGGUGAAUAGUGGUAGAUUGUUUAUACAGUCUACUGCUAGGAACAGUGGCGGACGGGUGAGUAACGCGUGGAUAACCUGCCUGUAAGACUGGGAUAACACCGGGAAACCGGUGCUAAUACCGGGCGUGCUGUAGAAUGGGCAUCCAUUUUACAGGAAAGGACUUUAAGUCUGCUUACAGAUGGGUCCGCGUCCCAUUAGCUAGCUGGUGGGGUAAAGGCCUACCAGGGCGACGAUGGGUAGCCGGCCUGAGAGGGUGGUCGGCCACACUGGGACUGAGACACGGCCCAGACUCCUACGGGAGGCAGCAGUGGGGAAUAUUGCGCAAUGGGCGGAAGCCUGACGCAGCGACGCCGCGUGGGUGACGAAGGCCUUCGGGUCGUAAAACCCUGUUGCAGGGGACGAAGGAAGUGACGGUACCCUGUGAGGAAGCCCCGGCUAACUACGUGCCAGCAGCCGCGGUAAAACGUAGGGGGCGAGCGUUGUCCGGAAUUACUGGCGUAAAGAGCUCGUAGGCGGUAGCUCAAGUCAGCUGUGAAAACCGACGG
rnacentral:rRNA from 1 species